AACUACAUCUUUAUUUUCCAUAAUUUUCACUAUAUUCCUCCCAGUUGCAACUUUAUCAUGAUUGAGUUGUGGUUUUGUGCUAUACAAUGUAACUUGAUAUGUCACAGUGUGGUUCUUACCAUACAAUGCGACAGUUUUAACGUUUAUUUCACAAUAAACAUACUGUAACUAAAAAUAAAUAAAUAAAAUAAAAACUUUCUUUGGGAGGUGAACUAUCCCUUUAAAUCUUCUAAGCUCUGAAAGAGCAACCUGUUAGCACUAACAUUUUCCUUUAGGCCUAACUCUAGUCCCAAACUAAGCCUAAAGUCUGGGUCGAAGAUGGGAAUGUCUUUAUCAAGGAUGUUAGUCCAGGAGCAAACGCUACAUGGCAAAAUCAAGAUCACUGAAGAUGUUACUGGUCCCUUAAUCCUCCACUUAUAUGUUUGACCUUUCACUUCAGUGCAACAAGUCAAAGAAAAGGCUUUAAAAUGUGCGAGUCAAAUGAGGAGAGGACUUUUUACCACCACACACCGAAAUGUUAUGCAACAGUCCCUAAGCCACACUCCCAUGUGUCCACAUGGACCUUUGAGAAAGCAAGCGAGUGAAUAAAAGGACAAGAUGAUCAAUAUUAGAAGCAGAUGUUGUGGAUGAGAGUCCUGCUGUGGCCGUUGUGGAGGUCACUGGAGGUUUCGGCUGUGGCUCUUAAUGGAGGAGGACACUCAAAGAAAUAUACGGUCAAGUGGUCAGAUCUGCUUUUCUUUUAUGAGUAGGGUAUGCUUGUGAAUCUCUCUGCUGUCUAUUUUGUGUCUUUCUGGAGAACUGAUCCAAGAGGGAAAAGUGUGAUUUAACAUUCAUGAAUUAUGUUUUUUUGUGGAUCUCUGAUGGGAAAUUUUUCUUUAGCCCACAGGUGGUGUUUUUGAUUUACUUGGAUGCACUUUGAGCCAAACUUGUUGGAAAUCCCCAAAUUAUCAUUUGCUGCUAAUGAAUAGAAGAGCGGGAAAAUAUUCCCAUGUCUAGAUGUGCCAAGCUGAUAGACUCCUAUCCAAACAGUGUUGUAAAAAAAAAUAAAAGGGUGCUUCAACUACAACGCUUGCUGUGUUGCAUCCAGACGCUCGGGCCAAGUAAGAGCUGUUUCGCUGGAGGACUGUGGCUGUGAGGGAUGUUUUGUGUGCUGUCCAGAGGCUGUAAAUACCAGCAGAGCAAGAGUGGUUUAUUUACUUUGGCUGAGACCUCAGCAGCUCAAACCCGAGACACGGAAAGAAGCUCUGAUAAUCCUACUUCUCUGGAACAUUUGUCUCUGUGACUGAGCUUUUGGUUUCUAGAUCCAGCCCUAGAGGAACAGAGAUAGAGAUGAGGAGUGAUAGCAUGAUGAAUCUGGACUGUCUCUCUCUGUCUCUGCGUCCUGAGGAGACGCAUGACUGACAGCAAAUUCACAGCUGUGAAUAGAGCCGAUUUAUAUGGCGGGGACAGAGUUUUACAGAGACCGUUGUGUAUAUAAUCCAUCAAAGUGUCUCCCCCUUUAUGAACCGGGAGUUUUUUGUUGAAGUGUGUUUAAUAUUAAUAUGCAUUUAAUGUUAUUUAUUCAUUCUUUUGUCCAAUUAUUGAAUAUUAUUAAAAUAGGACUGUCAAAGUUAAUAUUAAAGCAAGAUUAAAUGUU